CCCCCCAGUUCAAUGCCAGUGAUGCUCUGCAGUUUUAAGAUCUCCACAGCUUGGUCAUGUGCAUGGUAAAACCUUCAGCACUGGUGAUGCAAACCCGCACAGGAUGGUCCCAACCCCUUGAGGGCACGGCCCGGCGAUCAGGGGAGCAGUCGUUACAUAUGCCUUGUCCACAUGCACGGCAGUGAUGAAUGGAAAGACGAGGGUUAAACUCGCGUUGGCACUGGUUGCAGCAACGGAUGUCUUGGUCAGGGACCCAAUACGCUGGACGGGCUGCAUCUUUUACCAAGCCUACUUCUCCCACCUUCCUGGCAAUCAGAGUGCCACCUUCUUCCUCUUCCAGUGCUGCAUCCAGCAGUUCUAUCAAGGCAUUAUCUUAGUGAUGAUCUCACAGAUGAAGCCAUUAGAUAUUGUUGGAUCAUUUCACAAAGGAUUAAAAUAAAACCAGUCAAAUUUGACAGAAUAUCACCUGAAACCUUGAUUAUUUUUGGAUGUAUUAUGCACUUUUUCUGUUGGGCACAAGUACUUUUUGAGGUCAAAGUACAAAGUCUCAGGCACAUUAGGAGUUUCAAAAACAUUUUUUAUAGA